ACAGCAGCAGCCGCGGUAAUACGAAGGGGGCUAGCGUUGUUCGGAAUUACUGGGCGUAAAGCGCACGUAGGCGGAUAUUUAAGUCAGGGGUGAAAUCCCAGAGCUCAACUCUGGAACUGCCUUUGAUACUGGGUAUCUUGAGUAUGGAAGAGGUGAGUGGAAUUCCGAGUGUAGAGGUGAAAUUCGUAGAUAUUCGGAGGAACACCAGUGGCGAAGGCGGCUCACUGGUCCAUUACUGACGCUGAGGUGCGAAAGCGUGGGGAGCAAACAGGAUUAGAUACCCGCGUAGUCCCUGUCUCUUAUAC
rnacentral:rRNA from 1 species